rnacentral:rRNA from 1 species
AGAGUUUGAUCAUGGCUCAGGAUGAACGCUGGCGGCGUGCCUAAUACAUGCAAGUCGAACGAGGAGCCUUUUUACUUGUAUUCGUACUCGUAAAGAGGAUUUCCUAGUGGCGAACGGGUGAGUAACGCGUUGGUGACCUGCCCCAAAGAGAGGGAUAACAGUUUGAAAAGACUGCUAAUACCUCAUGUUGUCGUGGUUUUUAGAAAGCCAUGUCUAAAGGAGUAAUCCGCUUUGGGAGGGGCCUGCGUCCCAUCAGCUAGUUGGUAAGGUAAUGGCUUACCAAGGCGACGACGGGUAGGGGACCUGAGAGGGUGGCCCCCCACAAUGGAACUGAAACACGGUCCAUACACCUACGGGUGGCAGCAGUAGGGAAUAUUGCACAAUGGGCGAAAGCCUGAUGCAGCAACGCCGCGUGUGCGAUGAAGGCCUUCGGGUCGUAAAGCACUUUUCGAGGAGAUGAGAAAGGACAGUUCCUCG